GGAAGUAGCAAAUAUUCAAGUGAGAACCUUGAAGACUGAAGUGGGGAAGGGUUCCAUGGUAACAGCAGUUGGACAUGGGUUAGUCGGUUCUAAGAAAUAGGGAACCUCCGUUUUAAAGAAAUGCUCUUGUUAGCAUCCACCUAUCGAAAGGGUAUGUAGUUAAAAUUCUACAACUGGGAUACAGAUUUUGAACGGCAACGUGAAUGAACUUGGUGACGUCUGCAGGGGCCCCAGGAAGAGUUUUCUUUUCUCCUUAACAAUCUACAACCCUGGAAGCGAAUUAUUCGGAGAUAGGGUUUAAUGAUUGGUAGCGAUUUUCCCAAAACCAAAGCAGAGGGAGUCGCAAGGAGGAUUGAAAAAAAAAGAAAGAAGCAGUCGUCGUCCCAAACCUGUGUAAAGGUUUGGGGAGACCAUACUGAGCAUCUUAAAUUUUAAUC
rnacentral:ncRNA from 1 species